AACGUAGGAGACAAACGUUAUCCGGAGUUACUGGGCGUAAAGGGCGUGCAGGUGGUCUGUUAAGUCUGGCGUGAAAGCUCUCGGCUAAACCGGGAGAGGUCGUUGGAUACUGGCGGACUAGAGGACGGUAGAGGCGUGUGGAAUUCCGGGUGUAGUGGUGAAAUGCGUAGAGAUGUGGAGGAACACCGAUGGCGAAGGCAGCCUCCUGGGCCAGCACUGACGCUCAUGCACGAAAGCGUGGGGAGCAAACAGG
rnacentral:rRNA from 1 species